CUAAGUAGUAUUUUCUUGUUAGAAGAUACAAAGACAAAGACACAUACGGACUUUGACUACACAAUCAAAGCUUUAAAAAGCAAGAAGAAGCUUGGUUAGUGUUUUGGAGUCAAAUAUGACUUGAUGUCAUGUGUAUGAUUGAGUAUAACAACUAGAACCGUAAUCGGAUCUUAAAAGCCUAAAUAGUGUUUUCUUGUUAGUAGAUACAAAGACAAUGACUCAUACGGAGUUUAGCAACACCAUAAAAGCUUUGAGAAGCAAGAAGAAGCUUGUUUAGUGUUUUAGAGUCAAAUAUUACUAGAUGUCAUGUGUAAGAGCAGGUAUGACAACUAGAACCGCAAUCGGAUUUUAAAAGCCAAGG
rnacentral:sRNA from 1 species